UGACGAUUGUUCCUCCCGCUGCUCUGAGCUCGUGCAGAUCGGGAUUUUAGAUCGUCAUAGAGAAAGCUGAGUCUACUUCACCCAGCGUGUCGCCGCCUCGCGGCUGCUCGUGGCCUCGCUGGAUUUUGCAGGACCCUACAGCU